rnacentral:lncRNA from 1 species
AAACACUGGAGAGUUUGGGGCUGCCAAAUGAACAGGCCUUGCCACAUCGAGCAUGUAGUAGAGCCAAGACCACCCAAGGAACAACCAAAUGGACUCUUGGAAGGAAAGGCCAAGGCACAAACUAUACCAACUCAAAGGGCAUCACAAGGGGUUCAGGCCCUUGAGAGAGAGAAGGGGUAUUAUAGGAUGCCUUUGGCUCUGUCAUUCUCCUCCAGGAAUGAGGAGAAACAACUCGGAGGGAAGGAUACUCAUUUUUCUCUACAUCUGAACUUGGUUGGGCACUGGAGUCAAGCUUUCUCUGGUUUGCUCUUUCUGUCUCUAAGAAGCCUGGGAGACCCAUGAACUCCAACCCACAGCCAUCCUAGGAAAGUGAGUACAGCAGCUAGCUAGCCCUAAGGACUAUCUUCCCGUGGGCACUGGCCUAUUCAGCAUGUUCUGCAGACGUGCUUUCAGAGGCUGCCAGGUCCUCAGGCUGAAAGAAAAGAAUGAGGGGUCCACCAGGUUGAAAGGGAGUUCAGUGUGGAUCUGCUUCACCAACUUCACAGGAAUCCAUAGCGUCUGCCCCAAAAAUCUACCCAAGAAGGAGGCACAGCAUGCACCCCAGGACUAAGCUGCCGAUGGAGAGGAACCUGUUCACAUAGACCACCACGCCUCCCUCCCUCCUUCCUUUCUCCAACCUCAGAAGCUGUGGAAGCCAGUGGAGCUUCCUGUGGGUAAAAAAUUCAAUCAAUCAACCACCCACCCAACACCCAUGGAGCAUGUCUUUUGUUCAAGUUCUGAGGGGGACACAAAAGAGCAGGCAGGCCACAGCUAUGCUCAUUAAUACGUCAGCUGCUUGGAACUUGGCAUGUAGAGCUGUGUUAUUCACAGCAGAAAGUUUCCUAGGCCAGCCUGCCAAAAAAAAAAAAAAAAAAAAAAAAUCACUACUAAAUGUCCCCGGCAUUCAGUACCAGAAAGGAAGAGUACUCUUGGGCACUCAAGACUGCUGAAGCUCACAUCCUGUCUCCAACACUUGCAGGCUGUGGGCCUGGAUGAGUGACUCCAUCUUGCUAUGCCUCCAUUUUCUUGUCAGUAAAAUGCGAACCAUGAACAUGCUACCAGAUUCUUGUGAGGAUUAAAUGAAUCUGUGCAGUGAGACACUCAGAAGAGCACCAAGUGUUCAAUAAACAGCAAUGAUGGUCUUCAACGUGUCACUGCAAAAGCCAAGCCAUACAGAAUAGAAGGGUGCUGUGGGAAAGCGCCCCUGCCAGGAGGAUGGCCAGUGCUGGAGGCUCCUCCCCACCUUCACCAGCCCCAACUGACUGUGACUUCGGAGCUCAGGGUAGGGCUGGCAGACGAAGAGUCUGGGAAAGACAAGAAAAGCAAAGGGACACCAUGCCCAGGGGAAGGGGCAUGGAGCCAUGGGAGAGGGACUUCCUGAGACUGAACUGCCCAGAGAAACUUCUACUAGGGGCUUUUCACUUCGGGGGCCAAUUGUAGAAAAGAACACAGUGUCCCCAGUCUGACAAACUUGAAAAUACUUUCUGAAAAGGGAACGAGUAUACACUGUUGGUGGGGAUGCAAAUUAGCUCAGCCCCUGUGGAAAGCAGUUUGGAGAUCUCUCAAAGAACUAAAAAUAGAAUUACCAUUUCACCUAGCAAGCGAACUGGGUCUAUAACCAAAGGAAUAGAAAUUACUGGGUAUAUACCCAAAUAAAUAGGAAUCGUUCUGCCAAAAAGACACCUGCGCUUGUAUAUUCAUGGCAGCACAUUCACAAUAGGAAAGAUGUGGAAUCAACCCAGUUGCCCGUUAACAAUGGAUUGGAUAAAGAAAAUGUGGUACAUCUACACCAUGGAAUACUACACAGCUAUUAAAAAGAAGGAAAUUAGAUCCUUUGCAGCAACAUGGAUGCAGCUGGAGGUCACUCUCCGAAGUGAAUUAACAUAGAAACAGAAAACCAGAUACCACAUGUUCUCUCUUGUAACUGGGAGCUAAACAUUGUGUACACAUGAAUACAAAGAAGGGAAAAAUAAACAUUGAGGAUUCCAAAACAGGGGAGAGGUGGAGGGGAGUAAGGGUUGAAAAACUACCUUUUGGGUACUGUGUUCACUAUUUGGGUGAUGGGAUCAUUAGAAGCUUAAACCUGAGCACCAUGCAAUAUACCCAUGUAACAAACCUGCACAUGUACCUCCUGAAUCUGAC